rnacentral:rRNA from 1 species
UUGGAGGGCAAGUCUGGUGCCAGCAGCCGCGGUAAUUCCAGCUCCAAUAGCGUAUAUUAAAGUUGUUGCAGUUAAAAAGCUCGUAGUUGAAUUUCGGGGUUAGUAGGUUGGUCAUGCCUCUGGUAUGUACUGGUCUCACUGAUUCCUCCUUCCUGAUGAGCCGUAAUGCCAUUAAUUUGGUGUUGCGGGGAAUCUGGACUGUUACUUUGAAAAAAUUAGAGUGUUUAAAGCAAGCUAACGCUUGAAUACAUUAGCAUGGAGUAAUGAAAUAGGACGUUCGAUCCUAUUUUGUUGGUUUCUAGGAUUGACGUAAUGAUCAAUAGGGAUAGUUGGGGGCAUUAGUAUUCAAUUGUCAGAGGUGAAAUUCUUGGAUUUAUUGAAGACUAACUACUGCGAAAGCGUUUGCCAAGGAUGUUUUCAUUAAUCAAGAACGAAAGUUAGGGGAUCGAAGACGAUCAGAUACCGUCGUAGUCUUAACCAUAAACUAUGCCGACUAGGGAUCGGAUGAUGUUAAUUUUUUAAUGACUCAUUCGGCGCCUUACGGGAAACCAAAGUGUUUGGGUUC